GGCAGCACGGAGCUUGCUCUGGUGGCGAGUGGCGAACGGGUGAGUAAUAUAUCGGAACGUACCCUAGAGUGGGGGAUAACGUAGCGAAAGUUACGCUAAUACCGCAUACGAUCUACGGAUGAAAGUGGGGGAUCGCAAGACCUCAUGCUCGUGGAGCGGCCGAUAUCUGAUUAGCUAGUUGGUAGGGUAAAAGCCUACCAAGGCAUCGAUCAGUAGCUGGUCUGAGAGGACGACCAGCCACACUGGAACUGAGACACGGUCCAGACUCCUACGGGAGGCAGCAGUGGGGAAUUUUGGACAAUGGGCGAAAGCCUGAUCCAGCAAUGCCGCGUGAGUGAAGAAGGCCUUCGGGUUGUAAAGCUCUUUUGUCAGGGAAGAAACGGUGAGAGCUAAUAUCUCUUGCUAAUGACGGUACCUGAAGAAUAAGCACCGGCUAACUACGUGCCAGCAGCCGCGGUAAUACGUAGGGUGCAAGCGUUAAUCGGAAUUACUGGGCGUAAAGCGUGCGCAGGCGGUUUUGUAAGUCUGAUGUGAAAUCCCCGGGCUCAACCUGGGAAUUGCAUUGGAGACUGCAAGGCUAGAAUCUGGCAGAGGGGGGUAGAAUUCCACGUGUAGCAGUGAAAUGCGUAGAUAUGUGGAGGAACACCGAUGGCGAAGGCAGCCCCCUGGGUCAAGAUUGACGCUCAUGCACGAAAGCGUGGGGAGCAAACAGGAUUAGAUACCCUGGUAGUCCACGCCCUAAACGAUGUCUACUAGUUGUCGGGUCUUAAUUGACUUGGUAACGCAGCUAACGCGUGAAGUAGACCGCCUGGGGGAGUACGGUCGCAAGAUUAAAA
rnacentral:rRNA from 1 species